ACUUUGCCGCCAGAGGUAGUCUUUCAAUUAAAAUAAGUGACUGACNCCUGUCAGUCAACUAUAUACAAGCAUCGUGAGCACUCAGUUGGGGAUCAAUGAAAAAAUAUUCAAAAUGCAGACAUAUUUCGUCGCUUGAAUUCAUCAUUUUACUGGUUUGCUUGGUUAAACGUUGGCGAAUAUUUGUCUAAGGAACCUAACGCUUGACAUGCCUCACGACAGUUGAUAGGCUUCCACGGUCGACCAUGUAACGUUAUUUCAGCUAAACGCAGCAAGCAAAGAGUAAUAGCCGAAAAUAGAUCUUGAGUCCAUGCUGUUGAAUACAUAAUGUCAUCAUUCAAGUNUAAGGGUUUUUUUUCCAGUUUCGAAAUAAUUAUUUAUGAAGCCCUUUGAGUUGAAUCUUUUGUUGAUCACUUGAACUUCGUUUCGAUAAAGAAAGAGAAUAUUUACAACUAAAGGAUUCACAUUGUUAUCGCUUUUCUUAAGUAAAGUGAAGCUAUAAUGAAACUAACAACACAAAAGAUGGUUGGAUUUAUCACGUUGUUUAAAUAUUUGNAAUGCUUAGAACAGACUGAACAUUUUGGCCUCUAUAAUCUGAUUUUUUUUUACCAUUAUUAAUCGUAUUUUUCUGUCACAAUGUUUUUCGGCUUAUUUCAUCGUUUACAGCCGGCUGUUGCUUAUCUNUUGCAUAACAGAGUCUUUCGCAAUUAGUAGUAGUUUAAAAUACCUUGUGCUNGCUUGCGAAGAAAUAGUUUUAGUAUUUUUUUUAUUUUAUUUUUUGUAAAUAUCAUAAUUAUUUUAUAGUGUUUGUUAUCAUCACAAUAACGUUUAGCUGGUAUCCUAGCAGUAAAGUAACCAACCAGGCCGCGCGUUUCCAGUAUACAUCUGAAUUGUGNGAAUAUGAUGAAAUUGUAUUAUCAUUAUUAGCAGUCUACGUCUAUGUUACCUCGCAUUACGUCUACGUUACGUGGCUCUAUGUUUACGUUACGUAACUCUUGACGUCUCAAUAUAACGUUACGUUGCUCUACGUAACGUUGCGUAUCUCUUCUCUGUACACUAGUUAUGCUGCAGUGCUACAAUCACAAUGCAAUCAGCUACCUAGUAACGUGGGCCAACUUCUCUUACUUUACAUAGCUCCACGCCUUCAGCGUUACGUAGCUAAUUCUUACGCAAAGUGAACUGUAUUUUGACAUGGACACCUCCGCAUNUAGUUGCCGCUGUAGUUCCGUCUAACUCUACAUUUUGGGUUACCUGAUAAAAGCGAAUCAGUGCAAGGACUGGAAACUGGUCCUUUUGUUUCCUUUUCCCUCCCCACUUUUUUGCGUUCAAGUGAAAACAGGAAACCCAGCAUAAAGAGGAAUGUCUGUCUAUUCAAAAAUUCUAACAUUUGAUUUUCAAUAUUAUUGAUUGAAUGCGUCAUUUAAUGCAUUUGAAGUUGUUAGUAAAAUAGCUUAAUCAGGGACAUACGAUCUUUUCUGAAGUAUCAUGUCUCCUCAGAAGAAUCCGCGCAGAAGAUGCUUGAAAACGAGCAACGAAAAUGCUGUCUCUGAUUCGGAAUUCAGUGGUUCCUUUUAUACAUGAUCAUUACACCUUGACUAACGGUUUUCAAUUCACAAUUUAUCGUAUCAAUCAAUUGGUAUUCGCAUAUUGUUUCACAUUUUCGCGCGAUUUCACAAUCCGAACAGGCUUAUGGGAAGGUAAAUCACCGAGGCAAGUACAUUUUAUUUCUCGUGUAAUAGAAUUUAUUAAUCGAUUACGAAGCGCCAUUCUUACAAAAUUAAGUGUCUCUNUCGUUGAAGAUGGUUAUCGAAAGCCUUUUGCAACAACAUAUUUUUGACAUUCAAUCUUUGCCGCAUUAAUCUAACAAAUAUCUGCGAUCAAUUUCUGUUAAAACGUGAUCUAAGCCAAAAACAAAUUAAAAACGACCUAUCAAUAAUUUAGACAAUAAUAUCAUGUGUCAACUAGCGCAGUCUAGAAUCCACGAAAGAGAAAAAUUAUGUUCUAACUGAGAAACGAAUAAAAGCUUAGCUCUAACUGCGAGUCGAAGAAUGGCUUGUGUGUGAUUCAAUCAAAUUAAUGUUAGCAAGGAUUAUACUUUUCACAGACAAAAGUUAUUAUAUAUUUUGCCUUACAUAAUGAUAACAAGUUUUGAAUAAUAUUUCCAUCCGCGGAAGUGCUUUUAGCUGCCCGCAACAGGAAAAAAAUUAAAGUGAUGUAAUAUUGGAGAACAGAUAAAAUACAAGCCAAACAGUCGACUUUUAUCGUGCAAAACUCCUGGCAUCGACGGCUCUUUCCAAUAUCGAUCACGACCGCAGCGAUAACAAAUCCUCAAAAAUAUCUAAAAGAAAUAUUAUCAAAGUGCCUUAUAUUUCAUGAAAACCUAGUUUUUACUGUGCGUUUGAUAUUCCCCAUCUUAGAAGUUGAUAGUAUUUCGAUUUCAAUGCAUUAGCACCUGCUAUAUUAUGUGUUCAAGGCUUUGAUUGGUUAGUUUGCCUGUAAAUAAGAUCUCCUGGUUGGUUUUGUCGAGUAAACUUCUAGUUCAGCUGUUGGAUAUUUGCAUAAUAUAUGCUUCGCUAACAACAGACUAAGUCAAACCUCACAAUGGCUACGACUAGCGGACGAUCAGGAAAUAAGACAUCUUUUGGAGUUCCAAAACUCUUUCCUCCUCUACCAUCACCGCUAGCGAAUCAUCCAAGAUCGCUAUACGAUGAAGUCAGUCAGUCUACAGACUAUGAUGAGAAGUAUCGUCUUCGGGAUUUACUUUCAUCGGACAAGAAUAACGACGAUAAAGAAAGGUAUGGUUAACCACANCAACUCUUAUGACUGUUUAGUAUAGAACUUUUGACCUCGAAGUUUAUGUCUGAGGUUCGUAAUACUUCAGCGCGCGGCUAUACAGCAGUUAUCAAGACAUAUACAUGGACAUAAAGCGCGCGUUCUGCUUAUUUGUUAUAGAAAGAUGUGCCUAAACCCUCGUUAAAAUUUAAUUCUCGUGAGCGCGAAGCGCUGUAUUUCGUAUAUUCACAUUANUCGCGUUUGAUUUUAUCGGUGAGUUUCAAAGCAGUCGUAUAUCGAAACUAUUUACUCCAAUAAUUUACUUUGCUGUGAGGGCUUUGAAUAAUUUUGCAUCCACAUCUGUAAAUUCCAUUCCUAUUUCACACGUAUAGUUUAAAAGCUAUAUACAAUAGUAUUUCGCGAUAAAAUACACUUUUAUAUUCGCAUAUGUAUUUUUAAAGCCUCUCUAUCAAAAUCUAUUUAUCGAGUUUAGUACAACAACUGGUAUUUAAAUAUUUCUUGUCGAAACGGAAUAUCAUAACACAUAGAAUGAAUGAAUAAAUUAUUCGUCAUUGAUUGGACCAUUCAGCUCACUUCUAUAAUCUACAAUGCAAUAUUUAUUUGGCAUUUGCUUCCAUACAAAAAGGAUCAGUUUAGAAUAUGAAACGAUCUCUAAUUAACGCGGAGUAUGGCUGAAAAUGCUCGUGUAGUUCAUUUCUAUAGUCUUUUUAAUUUCUUUUCGAUGUAUCUACAGAUGUGUGCGAUGUCUCGACUUGACGGCUGUUUCUGAAAAGCUACAAAAAACAAUAUCAUCAUUUUUCGCUUUUGUAAUGAAAAUCUUCCCUUUAAGAGCCAAUCAAGCAUGUUGAACAAGUUGACUGAUUGCUUAGUUCAUCAAACAGUCCUUGUGACUUCAAAAUUAAUGAUCGCUUUAAAGAUUUCCCAAACGAUUCGUUCUCAUCUGAGAAGCCACUUAUAAUGAAAAAAUUAAUAUUUUCUCGACAUUUUUAUGACUCUUUCUCUGAGAGAUUCAUGCAGUGGGCAACUCGAAGUG
rnacentral:lncRNA from 1 species